rnacentral:rRNA from 1 species
GUUGAAGGUGGUCUGUAAGGGCUGCUGGAGGUAUCAGAAGUGCGAAUGCUGACAUGAGUAACGAUAAAGGGAGUGAAAAACUCCCUCGCCGGAAGACCAAGGGUUCCUGUCCAACGUUAAUCGGGGCAGGGUAAGUCGACUCCUAAGGCGAGGCCGAAAGGCGUAGUCGAUGGGAAACGGGUUAAUAUUCCCGUACUUCUUACAAUUGCGAUGGGGGGACGGAGAAGGCUAGGUGGGCCUGGCGACGGUUGUCCAGGUUCAAGUACGUAGGCGGGUGGUUUAGGUAAAUCCGGACCGCUACUAACGCUGAGAUACGAUGUCGAGCUACUACGGUAGUGAAGUCAUUGAUGCCAUGCUUCCAGGAAAAGCCUCUAAGCUUCAGAUUGUAAGGAAUCGUACCCCAAACCGACACAGGUGGUCGGGUAGAGAAUACCAAGGCGCUUGAGAGAACUCGGGUGAAGGAACUAGGCAAAAUGGUACCGUAACUUCGGGAGAAGGUACGCUCUUAUCAGUGAAGUCCCUUGCGGAUGGAGCAGACGAGAGUCGCAGAUACCAGGUGGCUGCAACUGUUUAUUAAAAACACAGCACUGUGCAAAAUCGUAAGAUGACGUAUACGGUGUGACGCCUGCCCGGUGCCGGAAGGUUAAUUGAUGGGGUUAGACUUCGGUCGAAGCUCUUGAUCGAAGCCCCGGUAAACGGCGGCCGUAACUAUAACGGUCCUAAGGUAGCGAAAUUCCUUGUCGGGUAAGUUCCGACCUGCACGAAUGGCGUAAUGAUGGCCACGCUGUCUCCACCCGAGACUCAGUGAAAUUGAAAUCGCUGUGAAGAUGCAGUGUACCCGCGGCUAGACGGAAAGACCCCGUGAACCUUUACUACAGCUUGGCACUGAACAUUGAACCUACAUGUGUAGGAUAGGUGGGAGACUAUGAAAUUGCGUCGCUAGAUGUGAUGGAGUCGUCCUUGAAAUACCACCCUUGUAGUUUUGAUGUUCUAACGUUGGUCCCUGAAUCGGGAUUACGGACAGUGCCUGGUGGGUAGUUUGACUGGGGCGGUCUCCUCCCAAAGAGUAACGGAGGAGCACGAAGGUGGGCUAAACACGGUUGGACAUCGUGUGGUUAGUGCAAUGGCAUAAGCCCGCUUGACUGCGAGAAUGACAAUUCGAGCAGGUGCGAAAGCAGGUCAUAGUGAUCCGGUGGUUCUGAAUGGAAGGGCCAUCGCUCAACGGAUAAAAGGUACUCCGGGGAUAACAGGCUGAUACCGCCCAAGAGUUCAUAUCGACGGCGGUGUUUGGCACCUCGAUGUCGGCUCAUCACAUCCUGGGGCUGAAGUCGGUCCCAAGGGUAUGGCUGUUCGCCAUUUAAAGUGGUACGCGAGCUGGGUUUAGAACGUCGUGAGACAGUUCGGUCCCUAUCUGCCGUGGGCGUUGGAAAAUUGAAAGGGGCUGCUCCUAGUACGAGAGGACCGGAGUGGACGAACCUCUGGUGUUCGGGUUGUCAUGCCAAUGGCAUUGCCCGGUAGCUAAGUUCGGAAUCGAUAACCGCUGAAAGCAUCUAAGCGGGAAGCGAGCCUUGAGAUGAGUUUUCCCUGGCACUAUAAGUGUCCUAAAGGGUUGUCGUAGACUACGACGUUGAUAGGCAGGGUGUGUAAGUGCUGCGAGGCAUUGAGCUAACCUGUACUAAUUGCCCGUGAGGCUUAACCAU